GACGAACGCUGGCGGCGUGCUUAACACAUGCAAGUCGAACGGAAAGGCCCUGCUUUUGUGGGGUGCUCGAGUGGCGAGCGCGUGAGUAACACGUGAGUAACCUGCCCUUGACUUUGGGAUAUCUUCAGGGAACUGGGGCUCAUACCGCAUAUGAGCUCCUGCUGCGUGGUGGGGGUUGGAAAAUUUCGGCGGUGGGGUAUGGACUCGCGGGGUCUUCGCUUGUUGGGGGGGUAGCGGAUUACCAAGGCUAUGACGGGUAGCCGACCUGGGAGGGUGGUCGGCCACACGGGAGCUGAGACGCGGUCCAGACUCCUAAGGGAGGCAGCAGUAGGGAAUCGUGCGCAAUGGGCGAAAGCCUGACGGAGCAACGCCGCGUGGGUGAUGAAGGUCUUCGGAUCGUAAAACUCUGUUAUUGGGGAAGAACAAAUGUGUAAGUAACUAUGCACGUCUUGACGGUACCUAAUAAGAAAGCCACGGCUAACUACGUG
rnacentral:rRNA from 1 species